rnacentral:rRNA from 1 species
GACGGAGGGUGCUAGCGUUGUUCGGAAUCACUGGGCGUAAAGGGCGCGUAGGCGGCCUUGCAAGUCGGUUGGUGAAAGCCCGGGGCUCAACCCCGGAGGUGCGGCCGAGACUGCAGGGCUGGAGGCCGGAAGAGGAGGGUGGAAUACCCAGUGUAGAGGUGAAAUUCGUAGAUAUUGGGUGGAACACCGGUGGCGAAGGCGGGUCUCUGGGCAUCUCCUGACGCUGAGGCGCGAAAGCGUGGGGAGCAAACGGG